rnacentral:rRNA from 1 species
AGGUCCAGCCUGCCCGGUGACAUAGUUUAACGGCCGCGGUACCCUAACCGUGCGAAGGUAGCAUAAUCACUUGUUCUUUAAAUGGGGACUCGUAUCAACGGCAUCACGAGGAUCACACUGUCUCCCGCCCCUAAUCAGUGAAACUGAUCUCCCCGUGAAGAAGCGGGGAUUUUUUUAUAAGACGAGAAGACCCCAUGGAGCUUUAAACCCGAUGACACCCCCGCCCUAUUUAGACCUACGCAUUCGUUGGGGACCUGUUCACUCGGUUUUAGGUUGGGGUGACCGCGGAGUAAAACAAAACCUCCACGAAGAAUGGGCUUACCCCCUUAUCCAAGAGAGACAUCUCUAAGAAUUAGCAAACUAACAUCUAUGGAUCCGAUUUUUCGAUCAACGAACCAAGUUACCCUGGGGAUAACAGCGCAAUCCAUUUCAAGAGCUCAUAUCGACAAGUGGGUUUACGACCUCGAUGUUGGAUCAGGGUAUCCCAGUGGUGCAGCAGCUACUAAUGGUUCGUUUGUUCAACGAUUAAAACCCUACGUGAUCUGAGU